CCUACGGGUGGCAGCAGUGGGGAAUAUUGCACAAUGGGGGAAACCCUGAUGCAGCGACGCCGCGUGAGUGAAGAAGUAAUUCGUUACGUAAAGCUCUAUCAGCAGGGAAGAAAAUGCCGGUACCUGAGUCAGAAGCCCCGGCUAAUUACGUAACAGCAGCCGCGGUCAUACGUAGGGGGCAAGCGUUAUCCGGGUUUACUGGGGGUACAGGGGGCGUAGACGGGGAGCCAAGUCUGGAGUGAACUGCCGCCGGUUAACUGUCGAACCGCUGUUGAAACUGGCGCACUAGAGUGGGGGAGGGGUAUGCGGAAUGCGUGGUGUAGCGGUGAAAUGCGUAGAUAGUAGGAGGAACACCGGGGGCGAAGGCGGCUUACUGGAGCGUAACUGACGUUGAGGCACGAAAGCGUGGGGAGCAAACAGGAUUAGAUACCCUGGUAGUC
rnacentral:rRNA from 1 species